ensembl:misc_RNA
GAUUCAGAAUCCAUUUCUAGAAGCAGUGAUAAUGAGGCCAUUGAAAGAACUGAAAGGGACCGCCUCUCUUCCCUGCACAGCCGUGUAGGUCCCCAUUCUUAAAUUCCAUUCAGG